CAAUUUAGUCAGAACGAACUCUCGCUCUCUCCUUCCUCUCCAGACGGUACAAGAAAAUCUCUUGGUCUCUCCUUCCUCUUCAGACGCACCGCUCCCAGGAAAUAUUUGUUUUGUUGAUGCUCCCUGUGUUUGUUGGUGUUUAAGGAGAAAGCAAAGCAGAGGGAAGAGUUUGCAAAGCAGCAGCAUGCAUAUAUUUUGGCUAUCUGGACAAACUGUUUCUUAGUGAAACCAACUUGCAUUUGUAUAUUUUAUGAACUU